rnacentral:SRP_RNA from 1 species
GCCGGGCAUGGUGUCACGUGCCUGUAGUCCCAGCUACUCAGGAGGCUGAGGCUGGAAGAUGGCUUGAGUCUAGGAGUUCACUAUGCCGAUCGCACUAAGUGUCCGCACUAAGUUCGGCAUCAAUAUGGUGACCUCCCGGGAGUGGGGGACCACCAGGUUGCCUAAAGAGGGGUGAACCAGCCCAGGACAGAAACGGAGCAGGUCAAAACUCCUGUGCUGAUCAGUACUGGGAUUGCGCCUGUGAAUAGCCACUGCACUCUAGCCUGGGCAACAUAGUGAGACCCCGUCUCU